rnacentral:rRNA from 1 species
CGGUUACAGAGGUACCUUGAGCGGGGGUAAUACGGAGGGUGCGGGCCUUAAUCGGAAGUACUUGGCGUAAAGCGUGCGCAGGCGGUUAUGUAAGACAGAUGUGAAAUCCCCGGGCUCAACCUGGGAACUGCGUUUGUGACUGCAUCACUCGAGUACGGCAGAGGGAGGUGGAAUUCCACGUGUAGCAGUGAAAUGCGUAGAGAUGUGGAGGAACACCGAUGGCGAAGGCAGCCUCCUGGGCCAGUACUGACGCUCAUGCACGAAAGCGUGGGGAGCAAACAGGAUUAGAUACCCUGUAGUC